rnacentral:rRNA from 1 species
AUGCAUGAAGCUAGGGGGUUAUUCUGCAAAACUGCAAUCUCUGGAAUAUUAGACAAAAUCGCAGGACGACAAAAAAAACAUGAUCGGGCUGAAACUGGGCAAGCCCAACAGAGAAAAAAAAAUAGAGGAGGGGGCGCUGGGGGUCGGCUCACCCCUGGGCUGCGGCCCGUGAAGGAGGAGGAGGCAGGCUGGUGGGAGAUGGGCCACCGGAGCUGGCUGGCGCGGUGCGGAGGAGGUGGCCCGGCUGGGCCUGGCGCUGCGGUUGCGGGCCUGGCAGGCAGAUCGAAGCGGAGGCAGGGCGAUCGGGCACGCAGCAGAAGCGCGGUCAACGUUCAGGACUGA